GCUUACAGCCAUACCACCCUGAACCUACCUGAUCUCGUCUGAUCUCAGAAGCUACUCAGGGUUGGGCCUAGUUAGUACUUGUAUGGGAGACCGCCUGGGAAUACCAGGUGCUGUAAGCU